UCGCCAAUCGAUGCGGAGAAGAUCUCACCGGCCGAUGCAAGGAAGUUCAUCCGCCGCUUUUCAAGCGAGGAGUAAAGUGCUCGCUUGUUUUGUAUAUAUCAAUUAAUGGCAGUCGAGGGAGUGAUGGUGACGGAUGGUGGAGGUGCGGUACAAUUUUGCUCUGCUAUGUAUAUGAGCUAUGUCCGUCCCUCAAUACCAUGUCAACUGGCCUUCUAAACCAGGCUGCUAUCUGCAUAUUUUUUUCCUCCCCGUUACCUUUUCCAUCUGAUCAGUCCUUCUCGUCCUAAAUCUGUUUUAUCUUUUCUCUUUUUUGCUGCAGGUUAUGGUAUAUUGUUUGGGGACUAUUCAAGGCUGGUUCUGGAAUUUUAUUGGAAGAGAUAUUGAUGGGUUGACUAUUUGCAAUGGCAAUCAGGUUAGUUAACAUGGAGUGCUAAUCGAAAUGAAUUUCUUGACCACUGUAUAAUGUAGUCUGUAGGAGAGUGGCAAGGCCGACACAUACCUUAGUUAUUAGGUGUGAGAUACAUCUCCAUUCUAUAAAGUUUUUUCUCUUCUUUGGUAAGGUCUUUUACUAUUAGGCCAACAAGAAGUGCAGGCUGCACGCCGCGAGCACUGAGCGCAGUCGAUGAGCUCGCCGCCUGUUGAAACUCCGUUGCUGAACAUGUAUGGUGACCUUAAUAUAUAUCUCACAAACUACAUCAUGAUUGGUCUCCGCCCUUGGAAGCCCUUGGGAAGUCAUCACACGAGGCAUCUCAUCUAUCCUUAGCAUCAGCAUAGCAAGGUACAUAAAUUCCUGUAUCCUAUUUUCUCUAAUCUAAUUCAUUUAAUCUUAAGAAUUUUGAAGGGCAUCGACAGAAAGGAUUUCCCACUUCAUAUUGAACCGAUAGCCAUUCAGAUUUAUAUUCAACAAUUUGUGCCGCUGCAGUUCAAUUUUUGCAGCUUUUAAAUUUGUGUACGCAAGUUGUUUGACGUAAGUCCGACUAGGCUACAGAUGAUUGUUACUGAAUGAAUAUGUGAAUGACUUUCUUUGCAUAUUUUUUAAUUUUGGAGUUGAUGUAGUUCCUCAAGGAUAGACUAAUUCAUAGUUUUCUCAUUCAGGUCUAGCAUAGUUCAUUCUAUCAUUGGCAUUCAUAGAUUAUUUUGUGCUUGGGAUGCCAUAUAAGUUACCGUGGGAUUACUAUUUUGUGGGUCGAUAAAAUCCUUUGAAAAUAACGUCAUGGAAAGAAGAAGCAUCCCUGGAAUAUCUCUGUUCUCUCCCUUAAAGUUUUCUCAAACUAUCUAAUACCCCGUGAAAUGAAUCUCAACUAUUUAAUUUUCAUAUUUUUUAUCAGUGAAGCAUUAUUAUUAUAUUCGUUUUUAUAUCAUAUGUCACUUGUGAUGUUUGAAACUCUAUAAUAUUUGGCUGAUGUCCUAACUUUGCUUUCUUAGGACGAUGAAGUGGGUUUGAGCCAAGACCUCUAAUGAUGUUUCUAAUUCUCUUUCUUCAAGUGCCUUCAUCUGGUGGACAUAAGUAGUCUUAGUAUUGUACCUGGUAUUGAUAUCCAG
rnacentral:lncRNA from 1 species